CUGUUUUCAAUAUCUAUGGAAGUAACCAACGCCUUCACGGCGAAGCAAUUUGAAAACGUAUUUAUUUACGAAAACAUUGAGGAAUUCUUUGACUUGUGAAUAUAAUUUUUUGUUGAUAUUGAAAGUAAGAUUAGUGUAAGGUUGAUAACGAACGUAACCUUUCCUGUAAGAUAUAUUAUGGCGAUGUUUACGAGGAUGUCAAUCUUCAUACUGAUGCUUUGUUUAUGUGGUGCAGCAUGGGGCCAGAGGACCCCCACCAUCUCAUACAUCUCGCAGCUGCAAAUCAAGGACAUCGGUGGUGUAGUGGAGCUGGAGUGUUCGGUGCAGUAUGCACAGGACUACCCGGUGCUGUGGAUGAAGAUUGAUCAGUUCCGCACCACUGAGCCCCUGCCCAUCUCCACUGGCAGUGCCUUGAUUAUCCGCGACAGCCGCUUUGCUCUGCAGUACGAGACGGCCAGUUCCACCUACACACUGCAGAUCAAAGACAUCCAGGAGACUGAUGCUGGGUUCUACCAGUGCCAAGUAAUCAUUGCUCUGAACAACAAGAUAUCUGCAGAAGUGGAACUGCAAGUGCGUCGACCACCCAUCAUAUCCGACAACUCGACACGCUCCUUGGUGGUGAGCGAGAUGCAGUCUGUAAAACUUGAGUGUUAUGCGAAUGGAUAUCCGGAACCAAGGAUAUCGUGGCGGAGAGAAAAUAAUGCAGUUUUGCCAACAGGAGGAUCUAUUUACAGAGGAAAUGUGUUGAAGAUCUCAGCUGUACGCAAAGAAGAUCGUGGGACUUACUACUGUGUGGCAGAGAAUGGAGUUGGCAGAGGAGCUCGGCGCAACAUUGCUGUUGAGGUGGAGUUUUCCCCUGUGAUCACGGUGCCGAAGCCUCGUAUUGGCCAGGCGUUACAGUUCGACAUGGACCUGGAGUGCCAUGUUGAAGCCUACCCCCCACCUGCCGUGGUCUGGCUUAAGGAUGAUGUUCAACUGUCAAACAACCAGCACUAUAGCAUCUCUCAUUUUGCAACUGCUGACGAAUUCACGGACACAACCAUUCGAGUGAUCACCAUUGAGAAGCGUCAGUAUGGGAUGUACAUUUGCAAGGCUGCCAACAAACUUGGAACUGUAACUGCUGAAGUGGAGUUGUUUGAAACCAUAAUCCCAGUGUGUCCGCCGGCCUGUGGGCAGGCGCGCUAUGGGGAUGCAGCGCAGAUCACAACUAGCAUGGCUCUAGUCCUGAUCUCAGUACUGCUAGUUUUCCUGCAUCGGUAGGUUGUCUCCUUGUAGCCAACUGUAACUGUAGCUGCAUAGCUGUUGGUUCUGUGGCAAGUAUUCCAGGUGAUGGGCAAUGGUAGGCAAAUAAGAUAUCACGAAACUUCCAUACCAAACAUUAACUAUCCUGGGCUGAUCUGGGAGAAUGGCGCCUGCAGUUUCAGAAACAUUCCACUUCUGAGUAUUGUUUUAUUUGUUGCUGUUCUAGCUAAUUAUUUUUACUUUAGUAUGGCCAAAUAAUUUUUUCUACUGUAUUAUUUAUGUGAAUGUACAGUUGUUAAUAAAUAUUCCUUUAUUUUUGUAGUACCUGUAAGAUGGGAGGAGCUGGUGAUUAUUGAAAUGAAAGAAGGGAUCAUUCUCUUUAACAUUUAUGUGUGACAUUGAAUAGGGGUUGUGUACAUUCAAAUUGCUACUAGUUAUUUAGACAUUUUUAUUUACAAACACAUCACUUUAUUCAUAUAAAUUUUUUGAAAAUUGAUUUUCUUUUUUACCUGUUUCAUACCUGUAGUCAAAAAAUAUUAUGUUUGACAUGAAUAUAUUUUUAAUUGUGUACUUGUUUAAACUCAUGUUAUUUCAGAUUUUCAAUGGCUUUUAUAUUCAAUGGUGUUUUUAUAUUAAUUUUUUUUUUAAUUUGCAUGUAUUUGCAUUGUACUUUCAGGGUAUUUUGUUUUUAGUGUCAAUGUACUAAGUAUAAACCUGCAUUGUUAAUUAAAAAUUAAUAGUUUUCU